AAUAGGAUGCCUGAAUAAAGGGUUAUUUUGAUAGAAUAAAUUAUACACUUAGUGUUUCUAUUA
rnacentral:tRNA from 1 species